rnacentral:rRNA from 1 species
GAGUUUGAUCAUGGCUCAGAACGAACGCUGGCGGCAGGCCUAACACAUGCAAGUCGAGCGCUGUAGCAAUACAGAGCGGCGCACGGGUGAGUAACACGUGGGAACGUGCCCUUUGGUUCGGAAUAACUCAGGGAAACUUGAGCUAAUACCGGAUGAGCCCUAACGGGGAAGAUUUAUCGCCGAAGGAGCGGCCCGCGUCGGAUUAGCUAGUUGGUGGGUAAUAGCCUACCAAGGCAACGAUCCGUAGCUGGUUGAGAGAACGACCAGCCACACUGGGACUGAGACACGGCCCAGACUCCUACGGGAGGCAGCAGUGGGGAAUCUUGGACAAUGGGGGAAACCCGUGAUCC